UUCCCAAUGGGACCAUACCCAUUUGGGAGAUGAUGGGGCAUAUAAAGAAGUUUCGUAUAGACUGUCCCAAUUCCUUAGCUAGUAGGGCUUGGGAUUGGAGAAGACACAAAGUCCAAUUCUUUGUGUGCAAAAGAGUGGAAGAGGUCAGGUUUUGAGUGUAAUUGUGGAAGCCUAGAGGUUUCUUAACAUGACUAUUCGCACCUUUCAAAGCACAUCAUGUUCCACUGCUAUUGCUUAUUUUUUCUUCUGUUUUUGUUUUAGAUAAAGGAGAGUGCGUCGGCAGAGCCCGCCUCAUCCAGAACUGAUAAAGGAGAGUGCGUCGGCAGAGCCCGCCUCAUCCAGAACUGAUAAAGGAGAGUGUGUCGGCAGAGCCCGCCUCAUCCAGAACUGAUAAAGGAGAGUGUCGGCAGAGCCCGCCUCAUCCAGAACUGAUAAAGGAGAGUGCGUCGGCAGAGCCCGCCUCAUCCAGAACUGAUAAAGGAGAGUGUGUCGGCAGAGCCCGCCUCAUCCAGAACUGGUGAGUUUACUGCCCUUUUGUAAAUUGGAUACAACCUGAUGCCUCUUGUAGCUAGGAUGGAUCUCCUCUAGAUCCCAGGGGCCUCCUAUGUUUUCUGGAGUGCUCCAGUUG